GCUACGAACGGAGUCCGAUACGCACCAGAAGCCAACUCUACUCCGUGGCUUCUCCGGAAAACCGGAGUUACUAUUCACUUAAGUGAAAACUGCAAAUCGCAUAUCUUCUCCGUUUUAGCUCAUUUUCUCCUGAAACUUGACGAGUGCUUAUGUAAUUAAAUUACACACAUAAACAUCAUCAACUGAGAGUUUAUCUGUACUGUAAAAUUCUCAGUCCUUACACUAGCGAGGAGCGUUUCUUUUGCGUUUUGGUAGUUCAUUCUCCUUUUGUUGUAGUGGAGUGAGAGAGAGUUGUGUUGGUACCUUGUAUAGAGAGACCACCUAUGUAUCCAGUUUAGUAUUUGUACUUUGGAUAUUUAUUGUACUACUUCCUGUUUUUACUUAGUGGAUUUAACUUUAUGUUCAUUUCGGUUAUUGUAGCAUCUAGAUAUACUUGCUCUGAUACUGCUAGAUGUUCUCUUUAUCUUGCCUUAUUUAUCGUUUUAUUUUAGACGCCUUAUAUGUUUUAGACGUAUGGCGGGUCUGGGCACGUGCCGGGCGGGCUUCCACUGGGUCCCGGGGCGUGACAAUAAAUCUUCAACCUUAGCUCAUUCCUAGUUUGGUUUGAAGCUUGUUUAGAGGUUAGUAACUUAGAUCUUCUCUUUAAAUCUUGUUUUGGUGGAUUUUUUUGAUGAAAACCUAGAAAUGAGAAAUUUAGGAUUUUAUUUGGGGAUUUUUGAUUUGUACCUUUUGGGGUUUAAUUGAUGCGUGUAGAAUUUCCUUUUAGGUGGGAUUAGAAGUAUUCUAGCUUCCAUUUGGAGUUUGGAAGAGCUUCUACACCAUCUAGGGUGAGUUUUGACCUCUUUAUAGGUUGGUUAAAGAUUAGCUUGUGGGGUAUUCGUUCAUUGCCCUCCUAACCCUCUCAGAAUUUUAUUUAGGGAGCUAGAAGACUAGUGGACAUCCUCGUUCGCGCAAAUGAAGGGGAUACGAGGAGUUCUCGGUGGGUUUGACCUCACCGAAAUGGGUGAACUCCCUCUAUGUUAUAUUCUUUAUUGUAAAAAUAGAAAAUCAUGCAUAUCAUGAUAGAUAGAGUAUAAUGAAAUUUUAGAAUGCAUAAAAUGCAUAUGUCAUAUAUCAUGUUGUAUGGUCUCUAUGUAGUAGGGAGAGAAUUGCAUAGUAAAUUGCAUGUGAAUUGGCAUUCUCUUGAUAUGGUAGAAAUCAUGAUGUAUGUAGUGAUAUGACAAGUUUUUACUUGCUUAUGAACAA
rnacentral:lncRNA from 1 species